UCACCGGGAGAUAUUGGCGUCU
rnacentral:miRNA from 1 species